rnacentral:rRNA from 1 species
GAUGAACGCUGGCGGCGUGCCUAAUACAUGCAAGUCGAGCGAACAGACCAGGAGCUUGCUCCUCUGACGUUAGCGGCGGACGGGUGAGUAACACGUGGAUAACCUACCUAUAAGACUGGGAUAACUUCGGGAAACCGGAGCUAAUACCGGAUAAUAUAUUGAACCGCAUGGUUCAAUAGUGAAAGACGGUUUUGCUGUCACUUAUAGCUGGCUCCGCGCCGCAUUAGCUAGUUGGUAAGGUAACGGCUUACCAAGGCAACGAUGCGUAGCCGACCUGAGAGGGUGAUCGGCCACACGGGAACUGAGACACGGCCCAGACUCCGACGGUAGGCAGCAGUAGGGAAUCUUCCGCAAGGGGCGAAAGCCUGACGGAGCAACGCCGCGUGAGGGAUGAAGGUCUUCGGAUCGUAAAACUCUGUUAUUAGGGAAGAACAAAUGUGUAAGUAACUAUGCACGUCUUGACGGUACCUAAGCAGAAAGCCACGGCUAACUACGUG